GACUCCCAGUGCUCAUGCAAUGCAUGGGCUUUUGUUGAGUGUAAAUAGCUUAGCGAAUAAGUGGUGGGUAAGACGGGUGCCAGCCGCCGCGGUAACACCUGCGCCACGAGUGGCAAUCAUAUUUAUUGGGCCUAAAGCGUUCGUAGCCGGAUAAGCAAGUCUUGGGUGAAAUCGUUACGCUUAACAAAACGGCGUGCUUGAGAUACUACUUGUCUAGGGACCGGGAGGAGUAAGGGGUAUUCCGGAGGGAGCGGUAAAAUGCUAUAAUCUCCGGAGGACCACCUGUGGCGAAGGCGCCUUACUAGAACGGGUUCGACGGUGAGGAACGAAAGCUAGGGGAGCAAACCGGAUUAGAUACUGGAAUUUUUGUUUGAUGUUUAUCAUAAGUUGUGAUUUUGUUUGCCAAGAAUUUACUAAAAUCAUUGACCUAAACUAAACAAUGUUAUCAAAAAUUAUCCAGCUAAUUACCCGAGUAGUCCUAGCCGUAAACGCUGUGUACUAGAUGUUGCAUAUCUCUCGUGGAUGUGCAGUGUCGGCGCGAAGGUAUUAAGUACACCGCCUGGGAAGUACGGUCGCAAGGCUGAAACUUAAAGGAAUUGGCGGGAGAGCACCACAAGGGGUGCGGCGUGCGGUUUAAUCUAACUCUACGCAGAGAAUCUCACCAGCAGCGACGGCAGAAUGAAGGUCAGAUUAAGUGUCUUACCUAACGAGCCGAGAGGAGGUGCAUGGCCA
rnacentral:rRNA from 1 species